AAUUCUCAACCUCACCAGUUUUGUAAUGAGACUGUGUAAGGCUUGGAUGUGAGGGUUUAUGCAGGCUGCCUCUGGGCGGUCUGCUCCCUUGAAAUGCAUUAGCGAGUUCACUAAGCUCCGUCUAUUGGUGUGAUAAUUAUCUACGCCGUGGAAUGGGUUUAGACUUGCUUCUAACCGUCUGCAAAGACAACUUUUGACA
rnacentral:misc_RNA from 1 species